CCUUGGUGGCUCAGAUGGUAAAGAAUCUGCCUGCAAUGCAGGAGACCCAGGUUCAAUCCCUGCAUCAGGGA
rfam:TPA: Bos taurus chromosome 2, whole genome shotgun sequence.